UGCCCUUUACAAGGUUUUUUGUGCAUCCCCUAAUCAAGCAAGGAAGGGAAUGCGCCAAGCUUGCUUUGAUUAUCUAACCCUUGGAGGCCUAUUCUCGGAAGGACCGAUCUCUUUACUUUCAGGAUUAAACCCUCGUCCCUUAAGUUGGUUCUCCAUUUCUUUGAUGUCGCAGUAUAUGGUGUUGGCCAUUUACUAUUACCUUCACCUAGGCGGGUGUGGCUUGGAGCUCGGUUACUCUUUGGUGCAUCUGGAAUCAUCUUGCCCAUAAUUAAGGCUGAAGGAAUUCGCCAAAUGUUUUUCCCUGCCACUGUUCCAUCUUAUUGCAGAACUCCUCCGGUUUCAAAAGAGUGAGUAUCAACAAAUGCAUUUCCAAAAGACAAAGUUUCUCUCGAGAUGAGCUAGCUUUAUCAUCCGUACUUUAGAAAUUGAGGGAAGGUUGAUGCUGCAGAUUUAUCAUCCCGUACUUUAUUAGCUUUACUUGACUAUGGAAGAUCUUGCUGAUCAGUUUGGAAUUGGGACGCUUCGUUUGACUGCUAGACCGACGUUUCUGUUGCAUGUUGUUAUUGAGAAGGAUCUUAAGAUGGUCGUGGGUUCUAUUAUUAGAAAUAUGGAGUCAAGUCUCUGUGCGUUUUGAUGAUCUUAAUAUAAAUGUUGCUGAGCACCGAGACUAUUGCUCCUGUUUGCUCAGGAAACUACGGAGAAUAUUGCUGCUCUUUUGACUCCUCAUUCUGGUUUCUAUUAUGAUGUUUGGGUGGAUGAUGCAUGUUUGUUUGUUUUCUAUGAUUUAUUCACCAGUAUAUUUGUUGUUUCAAGUCAACCAGUUCCACAUUCUUAGGAAGGAUGAGCAUGAUCGUGGGAAGAUUGGAUUUAAAUUCAGCUUCUCAGCUCCUAUGUAGCAGCUGAGUUCUCUCUUUUUUCUUCUGGUUAUCUAGCUCUUCAAACAUUAAAUUUUGUUUGUUCGCCAACGCAUAGACAUUACUAUUUUUUUUUCAUUUUCUUACCUUUUAAACUUACAUUUUGAUAAUCAAGAGAGGUCAUUGUUUUAUA